rnacentral:rRNA from 1 species
AUGGGUGGAGUUAACAAACUGACUGAAUGUAUGAAAGAAAUCCAAGACUCUUUGUCAGCUUCUCUUGGAGCUUCUGCUAAUUUCAACAAGAGGAGGAACUUAAAGAAUUGGAGUCUACUUGCUGAUUUCAUAGGACUAAUUCACUGGUGCACGAUGAAUGCUCUAGCAUACACAGGUGGAUUUUCCCAUAUAAUUGUAAUAUUAAUGAAGACGUGCGUUGCACGUGCACGCUUACUAGUAGGAAGGAAGGAGAAAUUAAAGGAAGGUGCAGAGUUUCUAUGUGUGCACGUAGGUGGCUGUUGA